CGAGCGUUGUUCGGAGUUACUGGGCGUAAAGGGUGUGUAGGCGGUUCUUUAUGUUUGGUGUGAAAUCUCCCGGCUCAACUGGGAGGGUGCGCCGAAUACUGAGGGACUAGAGUGCGGGAGAGGAAAGUGGAAUUCCUGGUGUAGCGGUGAAAUGCGUAGAUAUCAGGAGGAACACCGGUGGUGUAGACGGCUUUCUGGACCGUAACUGACGCUGAGACACGAAAGCGUGGGUAGCAAACAGG
rnacentral:rRNA from 1 species